GCCCUUUCCGUAGGUGAACCUGCGGAAGGAUCAUUAAUGAAUUUAUAGGACGCUCUUUUUAGAGGUCCGACCAUUUCAUUUCCUUACACUGUGCACACACUUCUUUUUACACACAUUUUAACACAUCUGUAUAAGAAUGUAACAGUCUCUUAAUUGAGCAUAAAUAAAAACAAAACUUUCAGCAACGGAUCUCUUGGCUCUCGCAUCGAUGAAGAACGCAGCGAAUUGCGAUAAGUAAUGUGAAUUGCAGAAUUCAGUGAAUCAUCGAAUCUUUGAACGCACCUUGCACUCUUUGGUAUUCCGAAGAGUAUGUCUGUUUGAGUGUCAUGAAACUCUCAACCCCCUUAUUUUGUAAUGAGAUAAGUGUGGGCUUGGAUUAUGGUUGUUGUCGGCGCAAGUCGGCUCAGCUGAAAUACACGAGCUACCCAUUUGAAAUAAACGGUUUGACUCGGCGUGAUAAUUAUUUCGCUGAGGACGUUUUCUUCAAAAGUAAGAGGUGCUUCUAAUGCGCUUUUUAGCAACUUAAGCUUUAGACCUCAAAUCAGUCAGGACUACCCGCUGAACUUAAGCAUAUCAAUAAGCGGAG
rnacentral:rRNA from 1 species